rnacentral:lncRNA from 1 species
CUUUGUAAACAAUACCAUGUUCUGUUUUGUUUUACGAUUUCUUUUCAUCUUUGCCAGAAACAUGGAUCAAGGAUGACGUUUAGGACAAAAUUCAUCUGCAUAUUUUUGCUGGUGCUCAGGAAGAUUUUUUCGAUUGAAAAAGUCGUUCAAAUAUUCUCAGUGCAUUAAGAAAUUAUUAUUAAAACGGAUUCACCGUGACGCGCUCGGCGCUAUCUAAUGUGUUGAGAUCGACUGAAUUCUAAUUGAGUGCAUACUAAAUCCGGACUGUCAAUUUGAGCGUUUAAGGCUAUAAGCAUGAAAUUGCAUUACUUUGUUUUUAGGACCGUCUUUUCACAUAUGCUGUCUAAGGUAUGGAUACUAAGGUAUGAAUAUUCACAUCAAUAAACGUCGUAAUCACUAAUAAGUAUAAUUUAUUUCGAGGAAAAACGCUGUCUUCUGUAAUUUCAAAUCAGUCUUCGGAGCAUUUCAACUCUGAAAAUUGAAAUCACCAGAUCGAAAAACUGAAAUUUUCCGGACGAAGAAUGAUCAAUUACUGUAGGUGUAAGUACAGCUUUGUAUUAUUUAAUCAAUGAAUGGCUGAUCUUAUCCCAAAAAAUUUUCUCCGUGAAAUAAUUGAGUUUCGUCCACCAUUUAUUGAAGGAAUAAAACAUUGUUCCAUUUUGGUAAAAGUGGUGCAGAAGAUACGUAAACGGAAUUGUCAAAUGCAAUACGACGAGACACGAGAAGGGUAAUAUUCAUAAAUUAUGAAGGUUGAUAGUGCACAGAGUAACCACCUUUUCCAUUUGUUUCGACGCAAAAUCCUCUACGGUAACGAACUCGAAGUAAGAGUCGAGAGUUCUCUCCGAUUCUCUCCUUUCAGCUCUCCAGCAUAAUCACCAACCAGCGCUUUAGAACCUCGAUCCCUACUGUUUGUCUUGUGUGUAUAGAAUAACAACACUAAGUCUAUAGAGCAAGGAUUGACAGAAGCUUUUCCUUUGACGUUUUUGAGCGCAAGGGAUGUACACUUCCCCCCGCCUUGACGAUGAUCAUGAACAUCUAUUGUAUUUUUCUCUUUGAGAAAAAGGAAGCAUUUCGAAGCAGUAAGAAGCCUCAGCCAUCACCAAAGAUAUGUUUUUUCGAAAGAGAAAAACAUCGAUAGUAAACACCACGCAGGAACACCCAACAGGAAGCCUCAAAGAAAAAAUGCACAUAUGGAUAUAAUAAUGCAUAAAUGCAUAAUAGAUCGUACCGAUAAUGCGUGCGUAUCCGAUAUCAUCAAUUGUAAUCCAAUUAAAACCAUAUCGCUCAGUUUGGAGGAUAAAUUAGUUGUGCUUGAAUCAUCGAUUUUACAUCAAUAAUAUUUGACCUACAUUCAAACCUUCGCCGCGGCCACGCGUUCGCCGAACCUUUAUCCCUCUCGAAUAUAUCGCCACGCGCGCCGAUUUCAAUGAUUGAUGCUUAAUUAACGGAACGAUAGAUUCCGAGCUCGUCAAGGAUGAAAAAAUUGGCAAUUCAAUCGUAAAUUUAUAAAGACGUCUGGAAGAGGAAGAAUGAGCUUAAGUGGACUGUGGAGUUGAAGUGGAAGCUGAGAGGAUCGUUGGCUCGGGAGAGCGAAGGGUAAAACCGCUGAGAUCAACGGGACACAGAGAGCUCUCUCUUUCCUUUUUUCUUAAACCAGAGAGGGUAAUCUGGUAUGUACUCUCUAAUGUUUUUGUAUAGGGCUGCAACACAUGUGGCAAAGAAAGAAGGGAAAAGGAAAAGGCGAGGGAAGAGCUUGUUUGGCAGAUAGGUCUGUAUAUCCUAUAUUUAUCUCAACGUAUAUUUAUCUCAAUGUUUCUCCGUGAGAUGGCUUGAAUUGCUUCCUAAUUGAUGCUCAACUGUUGAACGCCCGUUGUGUAUGGGCGUCCCUGAUAAACCAGUCUGCGACACCUCCCCCAGUCAAAUCCGUUCUCCCUUCUGAUGUACAUGCUAUCUCUGUUCCUAUGUGUGUACGUACUCGACUAGAUUCGAAUGUGACCGGAGAAAACCACGAACUCACCAUUCCAUCCGGAGCUACAUCCUGCCGUGCCUUGCAACAUCCUCGAUUUUACCUUAAAUGUUUCACAGUCAAUUCUGAUGGCAUCCGUGUACUUGGCUUGGCAGUUUAGAGGAUUAAAGGAAAUGGUGCAAAAUUCAUUUUUUCGAAUGAACAAAGAUAUUAUCUCUGGUACAUGUUCUUAUGAAGAACGUCGAAGAUUUAACUGAUAAACGUGUCUGCUGGAUCCACAUUUCAAUGAUAAAGACCCGAAAACUCGGAAUUACAUUUUUUCCCAAUUCGCAUUUCAUAAAAAUUGUAUUGAAUCAUUGAAUUAACCUCAUCAAAUCUGUUUUUGUAAACAUAUUCUUUCUGGAAUUAUAGCCAUCUGUUCCAGUACAAUGAA